CGACGGGCACGCUGGCCCCGCCCCGCCCCGCCGCCCCGGGGCAAGGGCCUUCCCCGGGCGGCGCGCCCGUUCUUCCUCCGCCGCGUCCCCGGCCCGACCAUGGUGCAGGCCUGGUACAUGGACGAGUCGGCCGACGACCCGAGGCUGCCCCACCGCGGCGACCCUUGCAGCCCGGUCGGCCUGGAGGAGCUGCGCCGGCUCGGGGUUCUUUACUGGAAGCUUGAUGCUGACAAAUACGGGAAUGAUCCAGAGUUAGAAAAGAUCCGAAAAGAGAGAAACUAUUCCUGGAUGGACAUAAUAACCAUAUGCAAGGAUAAACUACCAGAUUAUGAAGAAAAGAUCAAGAUGUUCUACGAGGAGCACCUGCACCUGGACGACGAGAUCCGCUACGUCUUGGACGGCAGCGGCUACUUUGAUGUGAGGGACAAGGAGGACAAGUGGAUCCGCAUCUUCAUGGAGAAAGGAGACAUGAUCACCCUUCCCGCUGGGAUCUAUCACCGCUUCACGCUGGAUGAAAAGGUAGGAUCGCUGUGUUGAAUUCGCAGGUGUCCGUGCACGGAUGUUGGCAGCUCGCGGCACCGCCCUCUCAGCGGCGCCCCCGCCGCUCCGGAGCUCGUGAGCCUGGGGGCCACUCGCCAUCUGCGGGCCGUCAGGAAGCUCCGGCUUUGUCCUUGGCCGGUGGCGGCCCAUGUGCACACGCGACCCGCGGUCCCCGGGAGGCCAGGCAGGUCAGCAGGAAGGGAUCCCGCUCCUUUAAGGAGAGAGCACGUGGUUGAGUGUAGGGGUGCAGCUCGGUGGGCGUCUCUAGGUCCCUGCUGCUCUGUCGCUUUCCCGGGCGUUUCCGUUCGGAGCGAAACUGUAGUGCGAUACCAGCCCCGGCGUGAGGAUCGGCCGUCAGCACGGAAGCGAGGUCGCUCUCUGGUUGGGGUUUGGGCCAAACCCGAGAGGUAAGUAUGGUUUCCGAACGGAAACUCAAGGCAUGUGGUGUAAACCCAGAACUCUGGAAGGGCGCCAAGCGGCCGGCUUCCUUUCUCCCCCGCUGCCCAGCCCUGUGCGCUCCGGCCAGUGUGAGUGUUGUGUCCUCCCGGCACAGGACGCGGCGGCCUCUACACGAGGUUCCACGUUUCCCUUCCCUGGGUCCGCUCUCGGAUCAUUUCCUGGCCGUGGGUGGGGGGCGGGUCCUUCCGUGCAGCCUCCUGGCUCCGUCCUCAGACGAGCCCCAGACCCCCACCCGCCUAUUCCACGGUCAGGACGAUCCCUCCUGCUGGGCAUGUAGACCGCUCCCUGUUUGCUAUGGUGAACCGUGCUGGGACUAAUAACCUUACGCGCUUGUCACUUGCACAGGUGUGACUUUGUCACCAGGGUAAAUUCCUAGACGCGAGAACGGACUUGAACGGCACGUACAUUGAACUACGUGAAAGCCAUGCGGCUGUUUGUGGGAGAACCGGUGUGGACGGCGUACAACCGGCCGGCCGACCAUUUCGAGGUUCGGGGGCAGUACGUGGAAUUCUUGGCGCAGACGGAGUAGCGGCGCCCUCGCUCACCCUUCGCCCUCGGGAAUGUCCUGAACGCGAUCCCAGCGGAGGACCUGUCCUUCCUCCUUGCUUUUCUGCUGUAGAGCGGGGGCCACGAGAGCCUUCCUCUGCGAGGUUAUUUGAUUCGAGGGCGUUUAAUGAGAGGAGCUUUUUAUACGAGUGAUUUUUACAUGUUAGCAGCUCUGGGAAUGUGGACAAAUCACAUUUUACGUAAUUCGAGAUUGGUGGCCGGCAGCCGUGUGUCAGCGCGCACGGUCGAUUUUACCGCAAACGAGAGCACCUUCCAGAUGUGAGUACUGAGCCGCCCCGCCACACCUAGCGCCCGCACAGUAAGCACAUGUCGGUCGAUGCCAGGUCUGCCUCGUAAGCGGGUGUCACGGUGGAUGACAGACUGGCCAGCUAGAGGACACUUUUCUCCCAGAACUGGGUGGAGACUGCGGUCGGGGGACACUCGGGGUUCCUUGUGCACUUUCUUGUUGGAAACAAAGUAGCUGCCUUAAUUCUGUGCUCUGGGCUUGGAGUCCUUAUUCGGGAACAUACCGGUCAUUAAAAUCACCGUUCAGAUA